GACGAACGCUGGCGGCGUGCUUAACACAUGCAAGUCGAACGGAGCGAAUGAAAGCUUGCUUUUAUGAGCUUAGUGGCAAACGGGUGAGUAACACGUAGACAACCUGCCGACAGGAUGGGGACAACAUUCCGAAAGGAAUGCUAAUACCGAAUGAAGCGGAGGAGAGGCAUCUCUCUUCCGUGAAAGGUGGCCUCUUUUUAUGCUAUCACCUGUUGAUGGGUCUGCGUCUGAUUAGCUGGUUGGUGAGGUAACGGCUCACCAAGGCGACGAUCAGUAGCCGGUCUGAGAGGAUGAACGGCCACAUUGGGACUGAGACACGGCCCAGACUCCUACGGGAGGCAGCAGUGGGGAAUCUUCCGCAAUGGGCGCAAGCCUGACGGAGCAACGCCGCGUGAGUGAAGAAGGUCUUCGGAUCGUAAAGCUCUGUUGACGGGGACGAACGUGCGGAGUGCGAAUAG
rnacentral:rRNA from 1 species